rfam:Ottowia sp. oral taxon 894 strain W10237, complete genome.
GGGGCUGCAUUGGUUUCGACGUGGGUUGGAAUCGCAGCGGUGCAUGUCGAGGUUCAGUCACCUCGUAAAACAGCUGAAACAAAGUAACUGCAAACGACGAACGUUUCGCACUCGCUGCCUGAUUGCGGCGAGCCUCGCAACAGCAUGCCGAUGGGCUGGGCAAGGGCGGCUUGAAGCCGUCCCGGCUGCGAGGGAAUCUUCACCGGCUGGCCUGCUUCCGGGCGCCUUGGGCGCAGGCGAGAAACAAGGGCGCUGGCCCUGCGAUCAGCGUGCGUCUGCGCGGCUUGCAGGGUGAGAUACAAAACAGCACGCUAAACAUGUAGAUCUGCGCGAGGAAGAUUUGCGGACGGGGGUUCAAAUCCCCCCAGCUCCACCA